GAAGUCCUUCCUGGGCCUGCUCGCCUCCGUCGCGUAGUCCUCGCGAGAGCGGCAGGCUUGGCUUUCCGGAAGUGAGUUCGGAGGUAGAGGUGCUGUGCUUUGUACUCGUCGGCCACCGUAGCCCCUGCUAGGACAGCCCGUGCGAACCUGCUGGAAGAGGAAGAGAAAGGCAGAGAGAGUCGGGUUACAAGAUGGCGGAUCUGUAGUAGUUACCGCGGCGGGCGGCGGCGGGCGGCGGCAGCGAGAGAGCGAGCGUGUUCUGGGCAGCGAAGGGAAGACGCGGAGGUUGUGCGCAGGGGUGAAGGGAGGGGAACGGAGGGCACGAGCGGAGGGCUCUCGAUGGCUCUUGUCACUCCUCGCGGCUAAACCUUUGCAGCUAUGGUAAACUCGGGCCUCUCCAGAGCCGCCGCCGGCUCUCAAGAGUGAGGGGUACCGGCGAGGUAGCGAGGAGGCGGCGGCUGGAGCGGUGGGGCCAGCUGCCACCAUGUCGGAUACACGGCGGCGAGUGAAGGUCUAUACCCUGAACGAAGACCGGCAAUGGGACGACCGAGGCACCGGGCACGUCUCCUCCACUUAUGUCGAGGAGCUCAAGGGGAUGUCGCUGCUGGUUCGCGCCGAGUCCGACGGAUCUCUACUCUUGGAGUCAAAGAUAAAUCCAAGUACUGCAUAUCAGAAACAGCAGGACACAUUAAUUGUUUGGUCAGAAGCUGAAAAUUAUGAUCUGGCUCUAAGUUUUCAAGAAAAAGCUGGCUGUGAUGAGAUCUGGGAAAAAAUUUGUCAAGUUCAAGGUAAGGACCCAUCAGUAGAAGUCACACAGGACCUCAUUGAUGAAUCAGAAGAAGAACGAUUUGAAGAAAUGCCAGAAACUAGUCAUCUUAUUGACCUGCCCACAUGUGAACUCAGUAAACUUGAAGAGAUUGCUGACUUAGUUACCUCAGUUCUUUCCUCACCUAUCCGUAGGGAAAAGCUGGCUCUGGCCUUGGAAAAUGAAGGCUAUAUCAAAAAACUACUGCAGCUGUUUCAAGCUUGUGAGGACCUAGAAAACACUGAAGGCUUACACCAUCUGUAUGAGAUUAUUAGAGGAAUCUUAUUCCUAAAUAAGGCAACUCUUUUUGAGGUAAUGUUUUCUGAUGAGUGUAUCAUGGAUGUCGUGGGAUGCCUUGAAUAUGACCCUGCUUUGGCCCAACCAAAAAGGCAUAGAGAAUUCUUGACCAAAACUGCAAAGUUUAAGGAAGUUAUACCAAUAACAGACUCAGAACUAAGGCAAAAAAUACAUCAGACUUACAGGGUACAGUACAUUCAGGACAUCAUUUUGCCUACACCGUCUGUUUUUGAAGAGAAUUUCCUUUCUACUCUUACAUCUUUUAUUUUCUUCAACAAAGUUGAAAUAGUCAGCAUGUUGCAGGAAGAUGAGAAGUUUUUGUCUGAAGUUUUUGCACAGUUAACAGAUGAGGCUACAGAUGAUGAUAAACGGCGUGAAUUGGUUAAUUUCUUCAAGGAAUUUUGUGCAUUUUCUCAGACAUUACAACCUCAAAACAGGGAUGCUUUUUUUAAAACCUUGGCAAAAUUGGGAAUUCUUCCAGCUCUUGAAAUUGUAAUGGGCAUGGAUGACUUGCAGGUCAGAUCAGCUGCUACAGAUAUAUUUUCUUAUCUGGUAGAGUUUAGUCCAUCUAUGGUCCGAGAAUUUGUGAUGCAAGAAGCCCAGCAGAGUGAUGAUGAUAUACUUCUUAUAAAUGUGGUGAUUGAGCAAAUGAUCUGUGAUACUGACCCUGAACUAGGAGGUGCAGUUCAGUUAAUGGGACUUCUUCGUACUCUAAUUGAUCCAGAGAACAUGUUGGCUACAACUAAUAAAACUGAAAAGAGUGAGUUUUUAAAUUUCUUCUACAACCAUUGCAUGCAUGUCCUCACAGCUCCACUUUUGACCAAUACUUCAGAAGACAAACAUGAGAAGGAUAAUAUGCUUGGAUCUAACAAAACCAAUACAAUUUGCCCUGAUAAUUAUCAAACAGCACAGCUACUUGCCUUAAUUUUAGAGUUACUCACAUUUUGUGUGGAACAUCACACAUACCACAUAAAAAACUACAUCAUGAACAAGGACUUGCUAAGAAGAGUUUUGGUUUUGAUGAAUUCAAAGCACACUUUCUUGGCCUUGUGUGCUCUUCGCUUUAUGAGGCGGAUAAUUGGCCUUAAGGAUGAAUUUUAUAAUCGUUAUAUCACCAAAGGAAAUCUUUUUGAACCAGUUAUAAAUGCCCUUUUGGAUAACGGAACUCGGUACAAUCUCUUAAAUUCAGCUGUUAUUGAAUUGUUUGAAUUUAUAAGAGUGCCCCUAAAGGGCUCCAGUGAACUGCCUCUCCUUGUCCAAGUUCUCUGUGGAGUCCUGUCCUGGCUCAGGUAUAAGGAAUCUAGGACAUUUAUUUUUAGAAGGAAGAUAUCAAGUCUCUUACUGCACAUAUAGUUGAAAACUUUUAUAAAGCACUUGAAUCAAUUGAAUAUGUUCAGACAUUCAAAGGAUUGAAGACUAAAUAUGAACAAGAAAAAGACAGACAAAAUCAGAAACUGAACAGUGUACCAUCCAUAUUGCGUGGUAACCGAUUUCGCAGAGAUGCAAAAGCCUUGGAAGAUGAUGAAGAAAUGUGGUUUAAUGAGGACGAUGAUGAAGAAGGAAAGGCAGUUGUGACACCAAUCGAAAAAUCUAAGACUGAAGAUGAUUUUCCAGAUAGCUAUGAAAAAUUUAUGGAGACUAAAAAAGCAAAAGAAAGUGAAGACAAGGAAAACCUUCCCAAAAGGACAUCUUCUGGUGGCUUCAAAUUUACUUUCUCCCAUUCCCCCAGUGCUGCUAAUGGAACAAACAGUAAGUCUGUGGUGGCUCAGACAACACCGGCAAGUUCCAAUGGGUCCUCUUCCAAAACUACAAACUUGGCUACAUCAGUAACAGCCACUAAGGGGAGUUUGGUUGGCUUAGUGGACUAUCCAGAUGAUGAAGAGGAAGAUGAGGAAGAAGAAUCAUCCCCCAGGAAAAGACCUCGACUUGGCUCAUAGAAUACUUGCUGGGAGACUCCCAACACAUGGUCUCACUAAAACACUGCAGCUGCUCACUGAGCUCAAGUCUGACUCGGAAAGCUUUCUCAUGGAACUCAACACACAAACGGAAUAGCAGAGACUCAGUUAUCAGAUAGGAAAGUGUAGUUGUGUAAGAAAAACCAGGCUCCCCGAGAACUUGUUUCCUACUGAUUAAACAGUUUGCCUUUGGGGCUGUCCAAAAUCAGAAGAGGAAGAAGAAGAAAUGAUUGUUGGAGCCUGCGUGAAAGCUUCCCAGCGAGGAAAGUCUCAGGUUUGGGGGAGGAAGGGUUGUUAAUGCAGGGUUGCUUCAGAGGGUCCAACCUACAGAACAUUGCCAGACUUCAGUACCCAAUAACAUUGCUUGUAUAAUGGUGCUGGCCAUGUUGCUUUAAUCAGCUGCCUCUUUUCAAAAGAAAUUUUUUAUGUAAAGCGAAUUUAGCUGUCAUUAGAGAUGAAGUCACGUUGUUGGGACCAUUUCUUUAAAGAUUUCAUAGAAGGCAGCCUUUGGUGUUUGACAGGACAUAUACCCUAGGUAACAGCACAUACCAAUUUCUCUACACCAGAGACUUCUAGUACAUUAAAAAAAAAAAAAAAAAAAAAAAGGCUGGGUUCCAAAUGGAUAGUUUUCUUAAUAGAACUUUCAAAGUCAGCACUUUUAGAGGUAACAGCAGUAUUCUGAAAUGGUCCUCUUCAAAACUCAGGAGUAGCUAGAAGAGGGUGUUCCCAGUACUCCCCUGGUACAAUCUUUCUGCUUUCUCAGUAAAGUUAGGUCUGGGUCUUCUGGGGCUGCUGACAAAUUUAUAGAGACCAAUAAAGAAUGGUGCUGAAUUAAGUGGCAUUAACUAUCUAGAAGCCAUUUUAUCCUAGAGUCAUGCAGCAUAGCACGGGAAGCUUUUCCACAGACAAGGGUGUAACAUGAAAGCUGCUUUUUUAAGAGAGUAAAAAGCACAUUCCAUGUACGUAAAUGAAUUUAAAAUAAUUGAGGCAAACUAUUAAGAGCUUUUAUUUUUAGAACAGCAAGUUAAUUGUAAAUAUUUUAAUGUUAGUUUGCUCAUCUAUGAUCUGAGAUCAUUGCUGAGAUGAGAAAAAUGACCCCAAACUAUAGUUUAAUGCAUUGGGAAAAUAAACAUAAAAAUCCCAGCCCCAGUCAAUCAGCUCUGUAAUGUGUUAUGGGUCCAUUUUCCUGGAAUAGCUUAAAAGCAGUUUCCUCUGUUGGAGAUUUUGGAGUUAAUUUUAAUUUUGGCUAUUGUUUGGAAAAGAUGGGCUGUCUGUGUAGAUAUGAAGUAUAGUUUUUCCAUAAAACAGAUGUUUAUUUUGUAUUAAAAAUACCACUGUACUUGUUUUACACCAUUUGUAUACAUGUGGUGAUAGUAAUGUAAAAUUUGAGAAUUAAAAUGUGACCCUGUAAUUCCA